ensembl:lncRNA
CAAUAUAUUAUAUUAUUAGCAUAGCACAAUAUUAGCAAUAUAUAUUACUAUAUUGAACUAUACCACUAUACUGUAAUAUUAUAUGUAAUAUAUAACGCACUAGCUGUGCCCGGCCACGCGUUGCUGUGGCUUAGUCUGGUGGUGUUGGUCAGUCUGCAUUAGGUUGUAUUUAUGCUGUGACCUCCACCCUUCUUUAUACUCACAUUAGUAGUAGUAUUUGAAGUCUGUUACCUUCUUCAAUUUUUGUGUUGAUUGAUAAUUGCUUGAGAUCCCUGUUGUCUUUGGUUUGUUGUUAAUUGCAAUGUCUGAUUCUGCUGAGUGCGGUUUAUAUUUUCAUUGUGGUACAAUAGUCUUUUUUUGUUUUGCCUGUGAAGGUGUUUAUUAUUAUUGUUGUUGUAGUGGUCAUGAAGGUUGGAUAAGUUAGAUGCUACUGUAUUGUUUUUUGGAGGCCCAGUGUAGCACUGACUGGCCUCUCAGCCUCAGUGCCUGGCUGCUUCUUGCCUGUGAUGGUGUUGAUUCUUAUUGUUAUUGUUGUUGUCAUUGUUAUUAUUGUAAUUGUUUUUUUUGGAGGCCAAGUGUGAAUGUAGGGAUUGGGGAGGUGUUAGCUGGCCCUGAUUGUUUCCUGUGUGGAAUUCCCCUGUUUAUUUACUGUCCUGGUUUUAGAGAUUAUAUUGUUCUGCAUUAUUCUAUCCCAGUAAUUAUUUCAUAUUAAAGAAGAAUCUCACUUAUCCAACAUUCGCUUAUACAAUGUUCUGGAUUAUCCAACGCAGUCUGCCUUUUCAUAAUCAAUGUUUUUGUAGUCAGUGUUUUAAAUUCAUUGUGAUAUUUUAGUGGUAAAUUUGUAAAUACAGUAUAGUAGAGUCUCACUUAUCCAACAUAAACGGGCCGGCAGAACGUUGGAUAAGCGAAUAUGUUGGAUAAUGAGGAAUUAAGGAUAACCCUAUUAAACAUCAAAUUAAGUUAUGAUUUUACAAAUUAAGCACCAAAACAUCAUGUUAGACAACAAAUUUGUCAGAAAAAGUAGUUCAGUACACAGUAAUGCUAUAUAGUAAUUACUGUAUUUAUGAAUUUAGCACCAAAAUAUCACAAUAUAUUGAAAGCAUUGACUACAAAAAUGCGUUGGAUAAUCCAGAACAUUGGAUAAGCGAGUGUUGGAUAAGUGAGACUCUACUGUAAAUACUACAUAGCAUUACUGCGCAUGGAACUACUUUUUCUGUCAAAUUUGUUGUAUAAUAUGAUGUUUUGGUGCUUAAUUUGUAUAACGAUUACCUAAUUUGAUGUUUAAUUGGCUUUUUCUGAAUCCCUUCUUAUUAUCCAACAUAUUCACUUAUCCUGUCGGCCUGUUUAUGUUGGAUAAGUGAGACUCUACUGUAUAUUGAUAAUCUUAAAUUAUCUGCUCAGAACUGGAUUAUAUGAGGCUCCUUCUUCACAGCUGUAUAAAAUGCACACUGAAGUGGAUUAUAUGGUAGUGUGGAGUCAAGAUAAUCCAGUGCAAAGCAGAUAAUAUAAGAUUAUAAAUGGGUUAUAUAGCUGUGUUGAAGGGCCUUGAGUCUACACUGCCAUAUAAUCCAGUGCAAAUUAGAUAAUCUGUGGAAGAAGACUCAGUGAGGCCUAAAUCUGCCUGUCCCCUAACUGAAACCUGGCUGUCCCUUGGUUGCUAGGCAACCAAGUGGGCAGAGAUUAGCCCUCUAAACUGGCAGCAAUUGGAUAAAAAAAUUAUUGCUCUCCCUCUAAUUAGAACUUUAUUUUUCUUUUCUUUUUGUUGUAUCAACCUUGAGGCGUGGAUGAUGGGUUGUGUUGUCAAAUUUUGAGGUUGGGGGGCCUGUACUUUUGUUGUUUUGUGAAUUGCCGUGAUGCCAUCACUCUUUUAUAUAUAUAGAUGGGCCUUUUAUAUCUGCUGAAAUUUGGUUCCAGGACCCCAAUGGAAACCCAAAUCUGUGGAAUAACAAGACCUAUUAUAUAACAAUGGCAUAAUCAAAGGAUGUCCCUUAUACAAAAUGGCAAAAUCAAUGUUUGAAUUUUGGAUUUUUAAAUAUACAGUAGAGUCUCACUUAUCCAAGCUUCGCUUAUUCAAGCUUCUGGAUUAUCCAAGCAAUUUUUGUAGUCAAUGUUUUCAAUAUAUCAUGAUAUUUUGGUGCUAAAUUCGUAAAUACAGUAAUUACAACAUAACAUUACUGCGUAUUGAACUGCUUUUUCAAAUUUGUUGUAAAACAUGAUGUUUUGGUGCUUAAUUUCUAAAAUCAUAACCUAAUUUGAUGUUUAAUAGGCUUUUCCUUAAUCGCUCCUUAUUAGCCAAGAUAUUCGCUUAUCCAAGCUUCUGCCAGCCCGUUUAGCUUGGAUAAGUGAGACUCUACUGUAUAUAUAUUUUUAAGUCAAGUAUGGGUGAAUUUGGAUAUGUGAUCUGUUCUUCCUAUAGUCUAUAAUGAGCUCCUUGGUCUUGUUGAUGUUAAGAACCAGAUUGUUGUCCCUCCAGCUGAUCCACCUCAUCCCGAUAGGCAGACUCAUCCCCUUCGGAGAUAAGCCCCACCACUGUUGUAUCAUCUUUUCCUAGACGACACAGCCGGACUGGAUCCUUUCCAGUCUGGCUUCCGUGCGGGGCAUGGGACAGAGACUGUAUUGGUUUCCAUCACAGAUCAUCUCCGAUGCCAGCUUGACCGGGGCGAGUCGGUGUUGCUUGUGUUAUUGGAUCUCACAGCAGCAUUUGACACAGUCAAUCACAAUCUUCUGACCCACCGCCUUGCCUUUGCUGGAGUUAGGGGGACAGCUUUAAAUUGACUGGCCUCCUUUCUUCACAACCGUGGACAGCGAGUGGAGAGGGGGGGCCUGGUCUCUGAGAGGUUCCCUCUACAUUGUGGGGUUCCUCAGGGGGCCAUUCUCUCCC